UGGGGAAUUUUGGACAAUGGGGGAAACCCUGAUCCAGCCAUCCCGCGUGUGCGAUGAAGGCCUUCGGGUUGUAAAGCACUUUUGGCAGGAAAGAAACGUCGCGGGUUAAUACCCCGCGAAACUGACGGUACCUGCAGAAUAAGCACCGGCUAACUACGUGCCAGCAGCCGCGGUAAUACGUAGGGUGCAAGCGUUAAUCGGAAUUACUGGGCGUAAAGCGUGCGCAGGCGGUUCGGAAAGAAAGAUGUGAAAUCCCAGAGCUUAACUUUGGAACUGCAUUUUUAACUACCGGGCUAGAGUGUGUCAGAGGGAGGUGGAAUUCCGCGUGUAGCAGUGAAAUGCGUAGAUAUGCGGAGGAACACCGAUGGCGAAGGCAGCCUCCUGGGAUAACACUGACGCUCAUGCACGAAAGCGUGGGGAGCAAACAGGAUUAGAUACCCUGGUAGUCCACGCCCUAAACGAUGUCAACUAGCUGUUGGGGCCUUCGGGCCUUGGUAGCGCAGCUAACGCGUGAAGUUGACCGCCUGGGGGAGUACGGUCGCAAGAUUAAAACUUAAAUGAAUU
rnacentral:rRNA from 1 species